GGUGUCACCGAAAUCAAGGAGUCGAUGAUGACGCAGCAACACGAUUUAGACUGGUUCGGGCCGCUAGAUUGCGUAAUACCCUACGUCCUGUGUGUUGUAUGCUUGUAUUCGAUUGAACUUGUUUUUGAGGGGUCCUUGCCCGCCCUUAUAUAUUGGGGGAGUAAAGUUACAGGGUAGUCUUUUGUACAAGAGUACUAGUCGUAUGCGACUAGAGAUUCCUACUCUAACUCGGCAGAGUAGUCCUACUGCCUUCCGACUAGUUCUUCAGGAGUCCAUGCAGUCUACGUUCCCUGUGUAGUAGUCUUCAUGUCCUGAUACGUGACUGAGUAUGUCCUUUGUGUGAGUCUGUACAAGGCUCCUCGUGGGAAAUUGUUGAGAAAUUGUUGGGCAAAUUCUUCAAGAAUUUCCAAGGGGUGCCCGAAGUCGAUGAAUCCAUCUAGGAGUUUGACAAGUGGCAUAAGCCCAGAGAGGUAACUUGCUUUCUUUUUGAGUACCCAUAAUUAUUAGUCGUUAUGUUUUCCAACUAGUAAUUCCUUAUGUAGGAAGAUGUCUUUUUAUACUUUUCUCCUCCUCCCCAUGAUGCUAAUGGCGCAAAAAACGUGAACCUGUGCACUACGUGUGCUUGGCUGAUGAUCCCUUAGAGGAUGAUGAUGAUGAUGGGGACUCUGAGUCGCUUGGCAACUCAGACAUUACAUCAUCUAACUCCGAGUUAUCUGAUCAUGUUUCUAUGCAGUCUCGAGUUCUCAAAGGGUAUAAAUUUGC
rnacentral:lncRNA from 1 species